GUGAGAGGAGGUCCCAGCUCUUGCUCCUGCCUCAGCCUCUCUGACUUCCUUCAGAGGAUCCCUUGGGGCCUCUUUCUUGAUUCUGUUGAUAAGCAGUAGAGGGUGGGGUCUUGGGAGGCUGUAUGUGUUUUAGGCAGCACCUCACAACCACACAAGUUCAGAAGAGCCUGCAGUUCUUGCUGCCCGCAUCUGAUUUUCAUCCAAGACAAGGCAGAACUUUCCUCCUCCCUCCCCUCCACCAAAAUGAAAGCUCUGUGACCUCAGGUGACUCCACAAAGUCCACUGCGUUUCAGUGACUUCACCUGUAAGAAGGAGAUCUUACCCCCUGCCCUGCCCGCCUCCUGGGGCUGGCUGUCCAGAGCCCAGGGGAUGGCACAUGGAAAGGAAUUAAGUGCUAAUGGCCAAAGCCUGGCUGGAUGCUUGGGGAGCUGAGGACCUGCCUUGGCCCCUGUCCCUGCUUUCAAGACAUUUAGUUCGUUCAAAUACGUGUGAAUGCAUGAAAAUGUAAUAAUGCAAAGUACCAACCAAGUUCAUAAAGGCUUGCCUGGGGGGCUGGGAGUGGGGAGGGACCAGGUUUGAGAGUAGAAUAAUUUAUUUUUCCAAAAUACACAUUCAGGAUUUCCCAUCAUGGCUCAGUGGUUAAUGAAUCUGACUAGGAACCAUGAGGUUUCGAGUUCGAUCCCUGGCCUUGCUCAGGGGGUUAAGGAUCCAGCAUUGCCAUGAGCUGUGGUGUAGGUUGCAGAUGCGGCUCGGAUCCCGCGUUGCUGUAGAUCUGGCGUAGGCUGGUGGCUACAGCUCCGAUUCGACCCCUAGCCUGGGAACCUCCAUAUGCCCCAGGUGCGGCCCUAGAAAAGACAAAAAAAAAAGACAAAAUACACAAUGCAUUUAGUCUUUUUAAGGAGAAUGAUAGAGUCAAAUUGUGCCUCCAGCUUAAUGAGGCAGACACAGACCUUCAGGAGGUAAGAGGAGUGAGAAAGUCCUGGGGGCAUCAGUGGUCAGAAAAGACCUUGUGGACCUGGCACCUUGGGCCAUGAAGAAGGGACCAGUUUGGAUGGACAGGAGACAGCUAUGGUG
rnacentral:lncRNA from 1 species